rnacentral:rRNA from 1 species
UACGUAGGGACCGAGCGUUGUCCGGAAUCAUUGGGCGUAAAGAGCGUGUAGGCGGCCACUUAAGUCCUGCGUGAAAUCUUGCGGCUCAACCGCAAGCGGUCGUGGGAAACUGGGUGGCUAGAGUGCGGGAGAGGAGAGUGGAAUUCCUGGUGUAGCGGUGGAAUGCGCAGAUAUCAGGAAGAACACCCGUGGCGAAGGCGGCUCUCUGGAACGCAACUGACGCUGAGACGCGAAAGCGUGGGGAGGCAAACAGG